GCGAUGGGCACAAGGGAGGCAACUGCGUACGGCUCAUUUAUUACUGAACAAUUCCUGCGCGAAAUCUCGUUCAUAAAAAUAGUGCCGAUAGGGGGUCGGAAUUACGUCGUUUUUAAGGUGGUUUUUGAUUGGAUAUGGUUAAAAUAACCACUAAUCAUAUAAGUUAAUACAUUUAUGUUCGCGGGCAAAGCACUUUCGUUUCUACACAGUUGCGUUGAAGAUUAAAAGAAAGCCUAAGAAAAUUUCCGAGAUCGAGAAAAAUAGACAUAUGUUUGAUACUAAUAAGUCAGAGUCUCAGGAUUGGGAAGAGUUUGACUCGGAGUCUAACAGUGAGCGUUCGGAGUCUGACAGUGAGCGGUCGGAGUCUAACAGUGAGCGUUCGGAGUCUGACAGUGAGCGGUAGGAGUCUAACAGUGAGCGUUCGGAGUCUCACAGUGAGCGUGUAUCACCGCAGCCAGGUCAAUUUACACAGGACCGGGCUGCAAAAGCUGAAAAGUUGAAGCUUCCGCAUCAGAGUACCGCAAGAAGCUGCCGUUUGUGAAUGCGCCCCGAUAGAGGAGAUUUAGGCAAAGAAGCUGAAGGCAGCGGGGGGAAAAGAGAAGAAAUCAGGAAGAAAUCGCCAUAGGCGAUAACUGAAUAUAAGAUUUUUUAAACCAUUGGAUAGGUUUGUUAGUCACCUAUCUUAGGAAAAAUACUUACAGAUACAUUGAAGUUCAAAUAACUAGUGUUAGGUCUUAUUUAAAUAAGAAGAAUUUUGGUUUUUGAACCUAUUUAAUGAAGCAAAUGAUUUUACUUUUGUUAAACAUGUGUGGCAGUGAACUAUUGUCUUCAUGUUAACCUUAUUUAAGUAUUGGCUGUUGUUCUUGUGGUGUAUUUAUAAUUUGAGGACUUAUUUUACCUAAUGGACAAUUUAUUUUAAUUGAGUUAACAACAUAUAAAACUUGUCAAAACUAUUGAAAGCCCCCAUAAGAAUUUCAUUGUUUUGUAGUGACCACUAUGUCUGCUCGUGACACUGUCAGUCUGACAUGUGAGAGUGCAGUUGAAGUAAAAUGAUUCAUCAAUCAUUACUUAUGAACAAUUUCAAUCUUUGGGAUUAGUUUUUGCCUAUAUGCUACCUUUGACUGACAAAAAAACCAACAUCAACAAUGUUUUUUUUUUAUUUGAACAACUCGUCAUCGUGAUUGGGAGGCAUGUGUCAUUUUAAUUCAUCAUUAUGUAAUGUCGGGUAAUUGGACAUUUCACAAGUAUUUAUAUAUUGUGUAUGCACAACAAAUAUAAAUUGUGUCAACAAAAAUUAUGUGUUAGUUCACCAGUAGUUAUCAUUGAAAAUAAAACCUUAAAAAAGCUGCAGAGUUGUUGUUGAUAGCAGUAAAGACAAAGGCUAUUCACGCAAAUAAAUAUAUAUUUGUAUGCCCCCUUAUUUUGCCAUAAACUGUGCAGUAAAAAGUGCAAAACCAAUAAAAAAUAUGUGUUAUUAAUAUGUUCUAAUGUGUUUUAUAUCUAAAAAGGCAUUCACAUAGAUAAAAAUAACUUAUAAAUGGCCAAAAUAGCUGGUUAAAUGCAAAUGUCAGUUGUUUGCUGGCAAUGAACCAGAUUUUUGGCAGAAAAAACAGCAGAAAAAUUCACCUAUUUUUUUACGUGUUUUAAAAAAAUCAUAAAAAAUCUAUUUUUCAUCCAAAUAAAAAAAGAAAGACAUCAUUAUGUUUGUUUUAAGUAGUAUAACAUCAAUGCCAAAUAUCAUUCAAA